GGAGCCGGUCGGAUGGCCGCGGCGCAGUUCGCUGUGUCGAGGAAGGUCGGGACUCCGCAGGGAAGGGUGCUGGCUUGCGCCAGUCGAGGCGACUCGCAGGAAAGUGCCACAGAAAACAAACCGCCUUCCCGGUUCCGCAAGGACCGGACGGUAAGGGUGAAACGGUGCGGUAAGAGCGCACCAGCACCCCGGGCGACCGGGGUGGCUAGGUAAACCCCACCCGGAGCAAGGCCAUGCAGGGAGAGGGCGUCCCGUCCGCAGACACUCCCGGGUAGGCCGCAAAGAUGGAUGGCCAUCCACGGAGUCGGCAAAACCGGCUCCCGGACAGAAUCCCGCCUACAGGCCGACUCCCCGU
rnacentral:RNase_P_RNA from 1 species